GUAUAUAUACAUACACACAUGUGUGUGUAUGAAUGUAUACAUACACACACAUGUAUGUAUAUGUAUAUGUACA
rnacentral:pre_miRNA from 15 species